GGUGGAUGGGGAGCAACCUAGUUGUGCGUGUGUAAAGGUAGUGCCAAGAAAAGCGAUGAUCAUGUUGAAAAUCAAUUCCCGGUACCCGAAACCGACACAGGUGGGCAAGUAGAGAAUACUAAGGGGCGCGAGGUAACUCUCUCCAAGGAACUCGGCAAAAUGACCCCGUAACUUAGGGAGAAGGGGUGCCACCGAGAGGUGGUCGCAGUGAAGAGGCCCAGGCGACUGUUUAGCAAAAACAUAGGUCUCUGCAAACUCGAAAGAGGAGGUAUAGGGGCUGACGCCUGCCCAGUGCCGGAAGGUUAAAGAAGUUGGUCAGUCUUAGGAUGAAGCUAGCGACUGAAGCCCCGGUGAACGGCGGCCGUAACUAUAACGGUCCAAAGGUAGCGAAAUUCCUUGUCGGGUAAGUUCCGACCCGCACGAAAGGCGUAACGAUCUGGGCGCUGUCUCGGAGAGAGGCUCGGCGAAAUAGGAUUGUCUGUGAAGAUACGGACUACCUGCAUUUGGACAGAAAGACCCUAUGAAGCUUUACUAUAGCUUGGAAUUGUGUUCGGGCUUCCUGUGCGCAGGAUAGGUGGGAGGCGUAGAAGGUAUUCUUGUGGGGAUACUGGAGCCAACGGUGAGAUACCACUCUCAGGAGGCUAGAAUUCUAACUUAAUUAAGGACAGUUUCAGGUGGGUAGUUUGACUGGGGCGGUCGCCUCCAAAAAGGUAACGGAGGCGUACAAAGGUUCCCUCAGACUGGUUGGAAAUCAGUCGAAGAGUGCAAAGGCAGAAGGGAGCUUGACUGCGAGAAGUACAGUUCGAGCAGGGUGGAAACACGGUCUUAGUGAUCCGACGGUGCUGUGUGGAAGGGCCGUCGCUCAACGGAUAAAAGUUACUCUAGGAUAACAGGCUGAUCUCCCCCAAGAGUUCACAUCGACGGGGAGGUUUGGCACCUCGAUGUCGGCUCAUCGCAACCUGGGGCGGAAGUACGUCCCAAGGGUUGGGCUGUUCGCCCAUUAAAGCGGUACGUGAGCUGGGUUCAGAACGUCGUGAGACAGUUCGGUCCAUAUCCGAUGUAGGCGUGAGAAUAUUGAGAGGAGCCUUCCUUAGUACGAGAGGACCGGGAAGGACGCACCGCUGGUGUACCUGUUAUGAUGCCAAUUGUAAACGCAGGGUAGCCAAGUGCGGAGAGGAUAACCGCUGAAAGCAUCUAAGUGGGAAGCCCACCUCAAGAUGAGUAUUCUGGUGUAAGGUCACGGGAAGACGACCCGUAAAUAGGCACGAGGUGGAAGUGCAGAGAUGUAUGAAGCCGAAGUGUACUAAUAGACCGUCGGCUUGACCU
rnacentral:rRNA from 1 species